ACUCAAAGGAAUUGACGGGGGCCCGCACAAGCAGCGGAGCGUGUGGUUUAAUUCGAUGCAACGCGAAAAACCUUACCUGGAUUUGACGUGUCCGUAGUAGUGAAGCGAAAGCGGAACGACCCUUCGGGGAGCGGAUGCAGGUGCUGCAUGGCUGUCGUCAGCUCGUGUCGUGAGAUGUUGGGUUAAGUCCCGCAACGAGCGCAACCCUCGUCGCUAGUUACACGUGUCUAGCGAGACUGUCGGUCUAAAACCGGAGGAAGGUGGGGAUGACGUCAAGUCAGCAUGGCCUUUAUGUCCAGGGCGACACACACGCUACAAUGGCCGGUACAAUGGGCAGCCAAAGGGUGACCUGGAGCGAAUCCCAUCAAAGCUGGUCGUAGUUCAGAUUGUAGGCUGCAACCCGCCUACAUGAAGCCGGAGUUGCUAGUAAACGCAGGUCAGCAUUACUGCGUUGAAUACGUUCCCGGGCCUUGUACACACCGCCCGU
rnacentral:rRNA from 1 species